rnacentral:tRNA from 1 species
GGCUUUGAGUGGUCAGGGUGGUCCCAGACGCCAGACUUCAAAUCUGGUCAAUCCGCGGAGGAUUGGGGGUUCGAUUCCUCCUCGAAGCCGCCA